rnacentral:rRNA from 1 species
CGGAGGAUCCAAGCGUUAUCCGGAUUUAUUGGGUUUAAAGGGUGCGUAGGCGGUUUAUUAAGUCAGUGGUGAAAGCCCGGAGCUCAACUUCGGAACUGCCAUUGAUACUGAUAGACUUGAGUACAGAUGAAGUGGGCGGAAUGUGACAAGUAGCGGUGAAAUGCUUAGAUAUGUCACAGAACACCGAUUGCGAAGGCAGCUCACUAAAGUGUAACUGACGCUGAGGCACGAAAGCGUGGGGAUCAAACAGGAUUAGAUACCCUGGUAGUCCACGCCCUAAACGAUGAUUACUCGCUGUUAGCGAUAUACAGUUAGCGGCUAAGCGAAAGCGUUAAGUAAUCCACCUGGGGAGUACGGUCGCAAGAUUG